AAACUCAAAGGAAUUGACGGGGGCCCGCACAAGCGGUGGAGCAUGUGGUUUAAUUCGACGCAACGCGAAGAACCUUACCAGGCCUUGUAUCCCGGUCGCGGCCCUUUGAAAGAGGGGCCUUCAGUUCGGCUGGACCGGUGACAGGUGCUGCAUGGCUGUCGUCAGCUCGUGUCGUGAGAUGUUGGGUUAAGUCCCGCAACGAGCGCAACCCUCGCCCUUAGUUGCCAUCAUUUAGUUGGGCACUCUAAGGGGACUGCCGGUGAUAAGCCGCGAGGAAGGUGGGGAUGACGUCAAGUCCUCAUGGCCCUUACGGCCUGGGCCACACACGUGCUACAAUGGCGGUGACAAUGGGCAGCAAACCCGCAAGGGGGCGCUAAUCUCAAAAAGCCGUCUCAGUUCGGAUUGGAGUCUGCAACUCGACUCCAUGAAGUUGGAAUCGCUAGUAAUCGUGGAUCAGCACGCCACGGUGAAUACGUUCCCGGGCCUUGUACACACCGCCCGUCACACCAUGGGAGUUGGGUUUACCCGAAGGUGGUGCGCUAACCCGCAAGGGAGGCAGCCAACCACGGUAGGCUCAGCGACUGGGGUGAAGUCGUAACAAGGUAGCCGUAGGGGAACCUGCGGCUGGAUCACCUCCUUUCUG
rnacentral:rRNA from 1 species